GGGGGCAUAGCUCAGUUGGGAGAGCAGCAGACUGAAGUGCAUCUUUCUGAAGGUCCCGCGUUCAAUCCGCGGUGCCCCCA